UACAGAGGGGGCAAGCGUUGUUCGGAAUUACUGGGCGUAAAGGGCGCGUAGGCGGCCCGCUAAGUCGAACGUGAAAUCCCCAGGCUCAACCUGGGAACUGCGUCCGAUACUGGCAGGCUUGAAUCCGGGAGAGGGAUGUGGAAUUCCAGGUGUAGCGGUGAAAUGCGUAGAUAUCUGGAGGAACACCGGUGGCGAAGGCGGCAUCCUGGCCCGGUAUUGACGCUGAGGAGCGAAAGCCAGGGGAGCAAACGGG
rnacentral:rRNA from 1 species